rnacentral:lncRNA from 12 species
GCACCUUAACUCUGGAGAUCCAGUGUGAAUCCUCCAAGAACAUGCUGUGUUCACAUUUUCCAUGGACUUUUAUUGGUUCCCUUAGAUGGAGAGCAAGACGGAAACAAGGUGAGGGCAAGAACUUGUUCUGGAUACCAGCCCACAUUUCAUGGGAUGACAUAAAGUUCCAGCCUCACCUCCUCCAGGAAGCCCAGAGGUCUCUGGUCUAACUGACCUCAUGUCUUCAAAAUCUGGCAGCUCCUGUCGGACAGAAUGAAUAAUAUUCUAUCUGGUGCUGCCGACAUUGUGUGUGGUGAAUACACAUCUGCAUUAUGAGAGCACAGAUUCAUGUGAAGCCACUUCUGGAUUCUUCCCGGUGAGCUCCAGGGGAUCCUCAACGGUCAAUGCGUUGGCUGGCCAUGUGAACCAAGCAGUUAACUUUUCCUGACCAGUCUUUUCUUCAUCUCAACUUUGUAACUGAUGCCCAAGUUCAUCAGGGCUCUUACUGCCUCAGAACUCUGAAGACCUUUUAUCUACACCUGAGUUACCCCAUUUACCCCUUUGAAGGUUGUCAGAAAAGUUUAAAAAGCGAAAACUCUACUUAGUUAUUGCUUUGAAAGGCAUACCGCUGCUUUUCCCAAUCUUCUUCUAGGACCAGCAGCCACUUGGGGAUGCUGCUUUUGUCUACAGCUUUGAACUUUCUUUGAAUUAGAAACAGAACAAAGGCAACAGUGUGAAGACUGCAGUUUGUCUGUUGAGGGCAUUGUUGGACUUCAUUCCUUUCCACAGGGAGGGAGAAGAACCAACAACAGCUCUGCGAGUCCUGGUGUUGAUUUAUGUUCUGGCAGAUAAGACAUGCUUUAUAAGAUUUAGCUAACAGACCUGCUAUGGUUCUUACUCUUUUCUAUCUUGUUUUCUGCAUAUGGCAAAUGAGGAAAAGGCUUGGAAAGAAGUCAGCUCCCAAGCAUCCAAGGAAAAGCGGACUGGCAGCACGGCAGUCCCAGGCCCGAAGCCGCAGCGCAAAGCCGCAGUCAUCCGGCCAGUGCGGAGCUGCGGGAGGGCGGGGGAGUCGGGGCCUCCUCCACCUGGUCCCGCCGGCUGCACUAGAUGACCUCCCAGACCCGAACACCUGCGGAUUCACCCUGAGACGCGGGCGACAACAGCUGCAGAGGAGGGGAGCAGGAGGGCGGGGCGGGCAGGAGGGCGCAGAGCAGCUGGGCAGGGAGGCCCACAGCGGGGGGGGGGGGGGGGGGGCGGGCAGGGGGGACGGGGCAGGGGCGGGGCGGGGCGGGGCGACCGAGUACCACGAGGGCUGCAGGCGGCUGGGCCCUAAACCUCGCUCCGGGUCCUCCCAGCUGAAAAGUGCUCGGCGGGGAACAGGGCCGACUCCGUGCUCCCGGGGGCAGGAGAGGGCAGGGGCGCCCCGAGAGUGGAGGCUGGGGGUGCAAGGGCCGGGCCUCCCGGGAGAGUCCGCGGGCUGCGCCCAGGGCACCAGGCCCCCUCGCCCUGCAGCCUGGGGGCGGGCGGAGCAGGGCCGUGGUCCGCUCCCUUGGGGGGGGGGGUCCCUGCGCGGACGCCGACCUGGGGCUGCUGCUGGGCGCCCCGACGGGGGCAGGUCGUCCCCCUGCGCCUCCCCGAGCACCCACGCCAGGGCGCGGGGGAGAGGGCGCGUGCGGCCCGCAGCUGGACAUCUGCCGGCGCCGUCUUUAAUGUUUGUCUUCUUUCGCCUUCACCUGGGACAUGUGUGGCCUCACAGGAGGACAGCUGGCGCCGAGCCCAGCACCUGGCAGCUGGGCCAUCUCCGGCACAGACACCUGGUUAUCAGCACAGCGCAUCCCUCUGCCCGGAGAACUGGGGAAGAACAAGGGAAGAGCAAGCUCACUGACCAGGCGGCGCUGGGAAGCUCCCGGACCGAGAGAAAAUAG